ensembl:lncRNA
GCUGCUGGUCUCUGUCAGCUUCACUGUGCACCAAGAAGCCUUGCAGAGUGGACUACCACUUAUUGACUGAGCCCUACUGUUUCUCAGUGGCUCUGUCUACACUGUUCUGGGUCCGAAGUUAGUGAAACAAUGACUCGAUCGUAGAAAUGUUUUUCUUACAAGAAAAUGAUUUGAUGGUGUGAUUGAUGGAAUUUGAAGCAUUGUGUUGAAGUGAAGUUUUUUUUCGGGUCCAAUUCUUUGGCUGAAUCAGAUUUCUUUUCAUCGGGGGUGGAGACAGACGUUCACAACAAAACCUUCUGACAAGAGGGAGUUCUGGCCAUGAUUAUACACACGGUUACAGGAAAUAUCAGGCAAACAGUUUCCAGGAGCCACUGUCAAUCAUUUUUCGCAAGAAAGAGUGUAAGCAGGGCGUAGAGAAGGCAGCAAUUGUAUUGUUUGCAAGUACAAAAGUGAACUUUUUUGGGGGGCUUUGAAGCAUGCAGGCGGUUUUUGAGUCAGUCCCACUACGCAAUAGUAUCUAUAACAACUGUUUGCAACUUGUAGCCGGCUCCUGGUGUUAGUUUCAAUAUUCCAUAAACUAAUUACAUGUGUGCAUUGGUGUAAGUGAGACUUACUUCUAUGUAAGUCUAGAUACUGUGUACAAGCCACACACACACACACUUACACAGGGCUACAUUACCAACAGGAGGCAACGAUCAGAGAGCAGGAUUUCAACUGUAGGUCAGUAACCAUAGCAACAGGACAGAAUGCACCGGAGACCUGUCACCAUAGGAACCAAUAGCAAGAGAGGGAGAGAGAGACCAAAAGACUGAAACAGACAGAUAAAGAGUGAUGUAAACACAAGACCGAGACAGAGAUACAGAAGGGAAAUGGGAAUACAGAAAAUAGGCAGGAGGGAAAAAAAAGCAUAAUUACAGUUACAAAGUUAGAACAGAAAGAGAUGAGAGACGAAACAGCUCAGACAGAGAUGGAUGACUGUAUCCGCUGUACACGUGCAAACACCGUGUUGCAAUGACGAUGAUGGGCCUGUCAUGUGGUGAGUCCCUGGGACCUGCGGGUGGUCAUUUGUGUGUGACAAUAUGGGUAUUUGAUGAAUAUUUUAUAUUUUUAGUUUCCAUUUUUUCUAUCUCAGUUGCUCUCUCUCUCCCUCUCAUAUACAUCCACAAAAUUAGAAAGAAGUAGAGCACAGAUGGACAGAGAUGUAUUAUAUGCGGUAGAGCCUCAUUGGGUCACCAGAAACUUGAGUGAAUACAGUACGGAUCAGUGGCCACGUGAGUUCGUUUACCAAUACCAAGGUCACCAAUGCCUUUGUUGUGCCACCAAAUCUCCUGCCUUGCACAUUGGUUUUGUGGAAGUAAAGGCAGACUUUAAACAUGGUUUACUCAUCUGUGCGAGAUCGACGCUAAGAAAAUGGUGCGACACUACUGAUUAGGGACACAUGGGAUGUCAAGUGCAGCUCGCACCUCAACAUAAUAAGCUAGAAAUUAUGAAUGUGCAACUUGUCCGUCAUAUAAAACCUGCACACCGAUGCCCCUUUUUGUUCUUUGGUUCUGGGCAUUUUGUAGCGUUACUUACAGAAAUUCCUGCUUAGUCUCCACAUUGACGCUUGCGGCUGGAGUAAAGUCACAGUAAAAACUGCAGGGACUCCAGCUGUUCCUGUUGGUUUGGCUAGAGAGAGAUCAACUGUGAGCUUUCAGUCCAGUGAUAAAAGAAGCCGCUGCAGGCUGCUUCUAGCUCUGCUUGUCACUUCUGUACUUCUUAUGGUACAAUAUUUCUGGCUAUUAGUCCAUCAAUAAAAUACCUUAUUUAACAUCGUUUAUGCAUGAAUGAGACUAACUUUAAUAGGUGAGAGAAAAGAAAGGACAUUCUGUACAGCUUCCAUCACGACGCUCCCUCUCACAGCUCACAGCUGCUCAUAGUCGUUUGCGGCUUGUUUAAAAAUUCACAGAGCAGUGUUGCCUCUUGCCUGAUGUUCAAAAUAUAUAGUGGGAUACUCGUGCCUACUUAUGCUUCAGCCCCCCCCCCAACCCUCUUAAACCAAAAAAAAACGCCAAAAAAACACAGCAGCCGCAUCCACUUGUGGGCACAACAUCCUAAUAUGAUUUGUAUGAGCAUUUUUGUUUGAGCUCUCAGAGGAAAUUAUAGCAAAUUCAUAUAAGUUUUAUCAAACACAGUGAACAUUGUGAGCUAAUGAUUAUUUGAUGUAAUCCAAACCUAGUCCUCUACUGCUACUGUGUGGCAAUCUGGAUGAAGGAGUGCACCACAUGCUAUGUUUAGAAUCUCAAUGUAGUCUUUUGUGCACUUUUAUUAUAUUAAUUAUGGAGACAUUAUCAACCAUAAAGGAAGGUUUAAAUGGUGUUAUUGUUGUAGUGAGAAAAUCAUACAGUUCAUCAAUAGGGGAAUAGAGUCAGAGACACACAGGAAGUGAAAGAGGGGGAAGGAAGAAGAGGGAAACAAAUGAUAGGGAGGAAACCACAAGAGGGAACACAAAUAAGAACAAGCUUUAGAAAGACUGAGAAAGGGCAAGCAGAGACAAAGAGAGACAAAGAAAAUACGUGUGUGUGUGUGUGUGUGUGUGUGUGUGUGUGUGUGUGUGUGUGUGUGUGAGAGAGUGAUGCGUGUGUCACAGUCUGGAGAUUUGAGCUGGCGUAGUUCUUAUUCCAAUCACACACACCGUCUAAUGAGCUAAUGGGCCUGACAACCCGACAGACACACACAGAGUGAGGGACAAGGAGAGGGAGGCGGAUGGAUGGAUGGAAAGUCACUACGCCAGUCGGCCAGCCAUUCAUCCAUUCAGAGGGUCGGUCAGCUGGUCACCCCAUUAGCCCCUCGUCCCACGAGGUUUGUGUCACCGAUAAGAGAUGCGUGGCAUUUUGUGAAGAACGUACUAUUUUCUUCCCUUGACCCUCUCAUCUUGUCUCGCACUCUUUUCCCGAUACGCAAGCAGGUGCUCACCAGCUGAAAAUGGUGUUUGUUAAUGUUUCUUGCGAAGAAACAUAAACUCACAUAAACAUUAUGAUCCUUAAAAAGUGGCUCAUUGUAGCAGCCCCGUGGGGGGGGCAAGAUUACAAUAAUGGAGUAUUUUAUAAGAAAUCAAUUUACAGAUGUGUCAAAUGAAUGAGUAAUCGUCCUGUGACUGGCGGAGGAAGACGUCCAGCACUCAGCAGCCUCGUGAUUAGUGCCUCUCGUGGUGCCAAUUUCUGGCUCUCCUGGUAAUUAUCUAUAUGUGUUACAGAAAUCUGAAUCUCUAAAAUAAUUCAGGAAUUAAGCCUCAGUUCGGAAAUUAAAUCACAGAGUUACCAAAAAGAGAAAAGAUUAAGUUAGCUUUCUUCUGUAAAUGCACACUAUUGCAGAUUGCUUCCUCCUUAAACGAAAUGGUAUCAUUAUUGUUAUCAUGAUCCUCUAAUUAUCCUUCCAAUUACAAUCAAAGCCUCUCAAACUCUUUUUCUUUCUUUUACGUUCUCUCCUCGUCCAUCUCUCUGUAUUUUUGGCCUGUUUGUGUGUUUGUGUUUGAAUAAUGCUGUAAUUAUUCUUCACAUCGCUCUCUUUACACCAUUAAAUCAUUUUCCAGGUCUAAUCUUUUUCCAGAGGUCAUGGGUAUUACCUGAGCCUUUCAGCAGUUUGAUGUGCUUGUGCAUAUUGGUAUUGUCACUCACUCUUCAGAAUGCUAGAUGUGCUGUCGUAACCGCGGUAACAAAUUACACCACAUUACCAGCAUAGUGCAUAUAAAAAGGUAUCGAUCAUUUCCAGUGGCUGUCUGUUGUUCAAAAAUAUUUUACUACUUGCUGCAUGGUUCUUAUAUUCUAGGUUUGAUGUUCACAAGAAAAAUGCACAAAUCCUCAGCUGCCGCACUGUGCACAAUAAACAUCAUACACACAUUUAAAUCUGUUUUAAUCCAUUGCAGGAACGUACAGAGAAGACAAGUCAUAUAUUCUUUGCAAGAUGUUGAAACUACUGAGGUCUUCAGUUAGUAAUUAAGCCUCUUCAGAAAGCCAAUGGUAACAAUGACAUCCACAGAAAGCUCUUUGAAAAAAAGAAGAUUUAUGGAUUUAUUCAGACACUGACCAUUUAUCUUGUUUGGAACUUCAUUUUUAAGUUUUUCAAAGCUUCAGGCUGCUUUGUCAGACCUCUUAAAGCGGAUGAAAUCCACUCAUUUGCAUUCAGUCUGCUGUGUAGAUUCCUUUGUAAUUGUGACUUUACAGCAAGUUGUUUUGGUCUGUCUUUAUUUGGAUAAUAAGUGGUUUCUUUUUUUACAAAAAGGGAUUUUUUUUUUCAUCAAAUCAAUGAUUAAAAAAAAACGAACAAUAUGGAAAGGAACCCUCUGAUAUACAUAUUUUUACUUAACAACAACUUAACAACAGCGCAGUUACACUUUUAUGAAGAUCUUUUUUAAUCACAUAACAGCUAAAGUCACUAUUCACAAGUGAUUUGUUGUCAUUCUAGUUUCUAAUGUAUAAUGUGUAUCCAUGUGGGUUCAUAUAUGAAUUUGCCUUCGUGGAUUGACAGGCAGAACUGAAAUUUACUGGGCAUCUGGACCAGGGUUCAUUAAUGCUGAUUGUUCAAGAGAGAGAGAGAGAGAGAGAGAGAGAGAGAGAGGGGGGAGGACACAUCAGAAGAUGACGACAGCAGCAUCAAUCACCUUGUCAACGAGCACCCACCACCAGUACCGGGGGACAGAUGUUAGGCUGACUGUGUGUGACUGCAUUUAGUUGUGAGACAGUUGUGUGUUGUGGAGUUGUGUUCGUGUAAUAAAAAUUUAUUAGAUGCUUCGUGACCUAUUAAAAUCCUGAGUGAAGCGGCUGUUGUGAAAGUUUGAACAAUGAAACCUUUCUGCACCGACAUGCAAAGUUACUUCAUCAUAGCUCGACAUCAGCUAGGUGUAGCAGCUGAUUGGUUGUAUGGUGGAGGGCGCUGUCUGUUAUUUUCUUAAAGCUACUAGAGUUGUUUCAUGAUGGAGAAGCAGCAACAACAACAGAACACUUUAGUUUUUUCUAUUUUUGUGACAAGCAUCAGUGUCAGUCGUUGGCCAAAACCUACGUUUUAAGUUCAAACUAUUCAAAUAUCUCUUCCUGAACAUCGAUCACGUCUCCCAGCAUGUCGGUAAGUUCACUCGUUUCACUACAGGUACAUUCCCCCCACUCUCGUCCACUGUAUUAAUCAAUACAUCGACCAACCAACCAACGCGCUCGGUUUCUUCCUGUGGAGCCGACCUGGAAACUAUUUUGGCUCAGUAAAUGUUUGCUGUCAGUCAGCGCGGUGAAGGCAGGUCAGCGAGCUGCUGACCUAUCGGCCCCCCAGGAGCCGCUGCUGCUGACAGACGGGCGGAGACGUUCACCCAAGACGGAGUGAGUGUGACAUUUCUUUGCAAAACUCAAAAUCUCGCUUCCAAUGAGGAUUUUCAGUUGAGCGUUAACUAGUUUUUUCCAUUCAGGAAGGGAGGGAGGGGACGCCCGUAACGCUGUGCUCUCAGUGUGUGCUCGCAGACAGAGAUGCUCUAGUAAUGCUGUUGUUCCUUCACAGUCUAAUCUAAUCAGUCAAUUUAUAUACAGUAUUCAAUUCAUUUUUGGUACGGAAAGCAAAAUAAUCUUUAUUUGCAUCCAUUAUUUCUUCCAAAACCCUUUUUCUUAAUUUAACAAGCAGUUCUCAAAUAUUAUUUGUUGUCGAACCAAAAACAGCCUUUAAUGAUUUUUUCCCAAAGUAACUUGUAAAAGACUGUCAAAGUUACUUUUUAUUAAUUUGACAGUUUUUUAUCGAAGAAACAUAAAAAUAACUGCAAAAAUAACAAUGACUGCUGUCAGUAUUUUUAAGUUACGGUUUGACCCACUUUCCCACGUUUCGUCUUCUUUAAGCCCACUUCAAUUUUUGUGAAGAAAGGCUCUUUGAAUAUGCAAACAAUCACAGUCCCCUAAUCGCAGCAUGUUUUUUCAUUCAGCUUUUUGAUUAUUUUCUUUUCUUUCAUUUCUCAUCUUCACUCUUUCAGUUUAUAGGGAUUAAUUGCAAAGUCGGUUUCAGAUGUUUUGAAAAGCAAAGUGCGGUUUAUGUAACAUUUCAACAUGAAAAAAGGAAAUGUGGCUUUUGAAGAGGUAGCGCUUUAAAUGCAAACAACCAAUACAAAUUUAAAUUGCAAAUCUGCCAUGCACACAAUGUCUUCAUGAACAUUUAAAAAGCCAGCAUGGCAUUUCAUACAAUUUGACUUGGUAUUUACCAACGAGGAAUACAAUAAAAGGCCCUGUAAAUACAUGAAGCUAGAUUUCAUUCACUUGCCUGUGUCACUCCCUCUGUCUCUCUCCUCCCCCGGGAGGUAUUCAUCCUCCUCUGCCUCUCUUUCUCCCACCACCUUUAUUCCCUCUCUCUCUGGAAAUUAGACUAAAGAACAUGAUUCAGUCGUUUGGAGAGCUCGUACGCUGUUGUACAGCAAAUAUUGGCUUAGGAAUUAAGUGAGUCUAGUCAAUGCUCCAAGCACAUGGAAGAUUUUGAUAAAUAUACUAUUCUCCAACCCUUCCUACACCAAACGCUUAUGCUCUCUGGAACUAUGAGGAGACAUGCACAAGAGGAGACGUGUAUACGAUUCUUAACUCAUCUUUGUUUGUUUAUUUUAAUUUCAAACGGUUCCAUGAAUUACACAAAUCAAUUAAAAAACAGCACGACACACAUGAAGUGAACCUCCUCCUACAUUCAUAUUUUCCUCUCCUUUCUUCUCCUCUUCCUUAAUUGCAUCUCUUUCUCUCUCUCUCUCUCUCUCU